AACCUAUUUGAAAAGGACAUUAGCUCAACUAGAAGAUGAUGUGGCUCCAUGUGAUGCUCAAAUCGAAAAUUGGAAGACGAACUUGGGAGUUAUGGCAUCAAAGGAGCGACGGUACAUGCAACAGUAUAACAACUAUAAGGCAUUACUAAAUCGUGUGGGCUACACACCCGAAAUUAAUCAUGGGGUGUUAGUUGAAAUGACCGAGCACAGGAAGGAUUUAGAGAAGACCACCAAACCCAUCUUAGAAACCUUGAGGAGCUACCAGGACCUGCCUCCGGUAAUAUGUUAUUUAUGGUUGACAUUGGGACACUAUUAUGCUUUGGCGUUCAUGUUUUUUCCAUACAUAUAAAAAUUUCUACUCCAUUAUACUCGUGUUUCUUUCCUGUAUCAAACUCUUUUAACUAUUUGGUUUAGGAUCCUCCCGUCCAAUUGGGUUCAUCUCCCAUCAUGUCUUCAUGUAAAGCUACAAAAG